rnacentral:rRNA from 1 species
CCCUUAGAUGUCCUGGGCCGCACGCGUUCUACAAUGACUUGUUCAGAAAGUUCUAUCCUGGUCCGGUAGGAUUUCGGGUAAUCUUUUUAAUGCAAGUCGUAUUAGGGAUCGAUCUUUGUAAUUAUAGAUCUUGAACGAGGAAUUCCUAGUAAGUACAAGUCAUCAGCUUGUACUGAUUACGUCCCUGCCCUUUGUACACACCGCCCGUCGCUUCUACCGAUCGAGUGAUACGGUGAAUGAUUCGGACCAGCGUGCUGCUCAGAUCCUGCGCAGUGUGCUGGGAAGUCUAGUGAACCUUAUCACUUAGAGGAAGGAGAAGUCGUAACA